GUGCCAGCAGCCGCGGUAAUACGUAGGUGGCAAGCGUUAUCCGGAAUUAUUGGGCGUAAAGCGCGCGUAGGCGGUUUUUAAGCCUGAUGUGAAAGCCCACGGCUCAACCGUGGAGGGUCAUUGGAAACUGGAAAACUUGAGUGCAGAAGAGGAAAGUGGAAUUCCAUGUGUAGCGGUGAAAUGCGCAGAGAUAUGGAGGAACACCAGUGGCGAAGGCGACUUUCUGGUCUGUAACUGACGCUGAUGUGCGAAAGCGUGGGGAUCAAACAGGAUUAGAUA
rnacentral:rRNA from 1 species